UACGGAAGGCAGCAGUGGGGGAAUAUUGCACAAUGGGCGCAAGCCUAAUGCAGCCAUGCCGCGUGUAUGAAGAAGGCCUUCGGGUUGUAAAGUACUUUCAGUCGUGAGGAAGGUGUUAAGGUUAAUAACCUUAGCAAUUGACGUUAGCGACAGAAGAAGCACCGGCUAACUCCGUGCCAGCAGCCGCGGUAAUACGGAAGGUGCGAGCGUUAAUCGGAAUUACUGGGCGUAAAGGGCACGCAGGCGGUUAAUUAAGUUGGAUGUGAAAUCCCCGGGCUUAACCUGGGAAUGGCAUUCAAGACUGGUUAGCUAGAGUCUUGUAGAGGGGGGUAGAAUUCCAUGUGUAGCGGUGAAAUGCGUAGAGAUGUGGAGGAAUACCGGUGGCGAAGGCGGCCCCUGGACAAAGACUGACGCUCGAUGUGCGAAAGCGUGGGGAGCGAAACAGGGAUUAGAUACC
rnacentral:rRNA from 1 species